GGUCAGCACCUGGGGUGAAGCCACAAAACCACAGAGCUUGCCUCGUCUGCGGGUGGGAGGCAAGCCCCUUCAGCCCAGCGGCGUCCGAGAGGCUUGUCUCGCCACGUGGCACUGUGACCUGUGACCGAUGUUGGUGUUGGCAGCCUGUGACCUGACUGCAAACAUUUUAUACUGUGAAACAGCCCAGAUCAUAGUUUCUUCCCUGCGGUUUGGGCGAGUUACCUGGUUCUAACGUUUUUCUCCUCACUGGGACCUGGCUGCGUGCGGAGUCUGACUGGGACCGGAGGCGUGUUCAGCUGGGCUCCUCUCUGGCUUGGCCAGGUCAGAAGGACAUUUGGGAGAAGGCAGUUUGUCUCUGACUUUCUGUGAGGCUUGUACAUGAAGCCUUUUCCCGGUGGCCAAGUUAACUGGUACUUACUCACCUGCCUUGUUAAAAAUACUCCCAAAGCCGUGACUUUGGGGGUGCUGGUGGGUCCCCACCUGGGUGUCCUGCUUGGGCAGCAUGAAUGACAGGCUCAGCCACACCACUGUUGGACAUCUUUGGCUCACCGACCAAAAGGUGCUUCUGCCUGUUUCUGCCUGUUCCUUUGGAGAAGCGUCUUCUGAGCUGGUGUCCCGUCUGAACGUCAGCUACUGGGCUUCUCACGCGCGGGAGGCUUGGUGCCGUACUUCCAUUUCCUUCUGACUGCAGAUGUGCCGGAGCUCGUCUGUGAUUGUGUCGCUCAGAGAGGCGUUUCCUCAGUGUGUUCCGUUUGGGACGCCAUGGACGUGAGGUCUCGCCCGAGCUUUUGUCCCUGAGGUCACUGUUCUCUGCGAGCUGCCCCUCCUUCGUGUAGGUCCUGGUUUUUGAGUGAGAGAAAUGCAUGUUCGUUUCCGUCCUUGUGCAAAGUAGGUCAGCCUCCUGCUCUGACACAGGGCCUGCGCCACCAGUGUCACUAAACCACGCAGGCGAUCAUCCUGUUCCUGCGUGUGUGGUGCUUUCUCCCUGUCGAUGCUGUUGUCUCCUCUGUGCUCUGUCCCCGCCCCCUGUGAUGACGCGGGGGUCACCCCGGAGCCGGUGCUGACUGUGUCCGUGGUCUUGUGUUGGAGGCAGGGCUCAGUGAAGGGGACCCAUGGCCAGGAGUCUCUCGGACAAGGGCUUUCUGCUCGCCCAGCUUCUGCCCCAACCUGUGACCUGUGCCCCUCGGAACCUCGUCUCUACUUUGGCACCACCCCGCUGGCCGACGGCUCUGUGCGCCCGGCUCUGGGACCCGAGAGCAGUUUUGCCAGCAGGUCUUCCGGUCGGCGCAGUGAGGGCAGUGGGCACUGUGAGGGACCAAGGGUCUCCUCUGCGGACUUACCUUCAAAGGCUCUCGAUGAAGUGAGUGGGGUGGUGGACGUCUGAUCAUUUCUCUUGAUUUCCAGUGUUCUGUGUAAAUUCUUCCAAAAGGAGUAUUUCUAUUCUGUUACCUGGGCUUGAGUUAGAAUAGUGAAUCUCGCCUGGCUGGUAUGGCUCGGUGGUUGAGCAUUGACCCAGGCACCAAUGGU